UACGAAGGGGGCUAGCGUUGCUCGGAUUGACUGGGCGUAAAGGGCGCGUAGGCGGUUCGUACAGUCAGACGUGAAAUUCCUGGGCUCAACCUGGGGGCUGCGUUUGAUACGUGCGGACUUGAGUGCGGAAGAGGGUCGUGGAAUUCCCAGUGAGAGGUGAAAUUCGUAGAUAUUGGGAAGAACACCGGUGGCGAAGGCGGUUCUCUGGGCCUUACCUGACGCUGAGGAGCGAAAGCGUGGGGAGCGAACAGG
rnacentral:rRNA from 1 species